rnacentral:rRNA from 1 species
GUGAGGAAUAUUGGUCAAUGGGCGGGAGCCUGAACCAGCCAAGUCGCGUGAAGGAAGAAGGAUCUAUGGUUCGUAAACUUCUUUUGCAGGGGAAUAAAGUGCAGGACGUGUCCUGUUUUGUAUGUACCCUGAGAAUAAGGAUCGGCUAACUCCGUGCCAGCAGCCGCGGUAAUACGGAGGAUCCGAGCGUUAUCCGGAUUUAUUGGGUUUAAAGGGUGCGUAGGUGGUUUGAUAAGUCAGCGGUGAAAGUUUGCAGCUUAACUGUAAAAAUGCCGUUGAAACUGUCGGACUUGAGUGUAAAUGAGGUAGGCGGAAUGCGUGGUGUAGCGGUGAAAUGCAUAGAGAUCACGCAGAACUCCGAUUGCGAAGGCAGCUUACUAAGCUACAACUGACACUGAAGCACGAAAGCGUGGGGAUCAAACAGGAUUAGAAACCCGUGUAGUCC